rnacentral:rRNA from 1 species
AUUGAACGCUGGCGGAAUGCUUUACACAUGCAAGUCGAACGGCAGCACGGACUUCGGUCUGGUGGCGAGUGGCGAACGGGUGAGUAAUGUAUCGGAACGUGCCCAGUCGUGGGGGAUAACGUAGUGAAAAUUACGCUAAUACCGCAUACGAUCUAUGGAUGAAAGCGGGGGAUCGCAAGACCUCGCGCGAUUGGAGCGGCCGAUAUCAGACUAGGUAGUUGGCAGGGUAAAGGCCUACCAAGCCAACGAUCUGUAGCUGGUCUGAGAGGACGACCAGCCACACUGGAACUGAGACACGGUCCAGACUCCUACGGGAGGCAGCAGUGGGGAAUUUUGGACAAUGGGCGAAAGCCUGAUCCAGCCAUUCCGCGUGCAGGAUGAAGGCCCUCGGGUUGUAAACUGCUUUUGUACAGAACGAAAAGGUUUCUACUAAUACUAGGAGCUCAUGACGGUACUGUAAGAAUAAGCACCGGCUAACUACGUGCCAGCCGCCGCGGUAA